UUUGGUGGCGAUAGCGAAGAGGUCACACCCGUUCCCAUUCCGAACACGGCAGUUAAGCUCUUCAGCGCCGAUGGUAGUUGGGGGUUUUC
rnacentral:rRNA from 1 species